rnacentral:rRNA from 1 species
AGUGAACGCUGGCGGUAGGCCUAACACAUGCAAGUCGAACGGCAGCACAGUAAGAGCUUGCUCUUACGGGUGGCGAGUGGCGGACGGGUGAGGAAUACAUCGGAAUCUACUUUUUCGUGGGGGAUAACGUAGGGAAACUUACGCUAAUACCGCAUACGACCUACGGGUGAAAGCAGGAGAUCUUCGGACCUUGCGCGAUUGAAUGAGCCGAUGUCGGAUUAGCUAGUUGGCGGGGUAAAGGCCCACCAAGGCGACGAUCCGUAGCUGGUCUGAGAGGAUGAUCAGCCACACUGGAACUGAGACACGGUCCAGACUCCUACGGGAGGCAGCAGUGGGGAAUAUUGGACAAUGGGCGCAAGCCUGAUCCAGCCAUACCGCGUGGGUGAAGAAGGCCUUCGGGUCGUAAAGCCCUUUUGUUGGGAAAGAAAAGCAGCAGGUUAAUACCCCGCUGUUCUGACGGUACCCAAAGAAUAAGCACCGGCUAACUUCGUG